AGUGGACGCUGGCGGUAGGCCUAACACAUGCAAGUCGAACGGCAGCACAGUAUGAGCUUGCUCUUACGGGUGGCGAGUGGCGGACGGGUGAGGAAUACAUCGGAAUCUACUUUUUCGUGGGGGAUAACGUAGGGAAACUUACGCUAAUACCGCAUACGACCUACGGGUGAAAGCAGGGGAUCUUCGGACCUUGCGCGAUUGAAUGAGCCGAUGUCGGAUUAGCUAGUUGGCGGGGUAAAGGCCCACCAAGGCGACGAUCCGUAGCUGGUCUGAGAGGAUGAUCAGCCACACUGGAACUGAGACACGGUCCAGACUCCUACGGGAGGCAGCAGUGGGGAAUAUUGGACAAUGGGCGCAAGCCUGAUCCAGCCAUACCGCGUGGGUGAGGAAGGCCUUCGGGUUGUAAAGCCCUUUUGUUGGGAAAGAAAAGCAGCAGGUUAAUACCCCGCUGUUCUGACGGUACCCAAAGAAUAAGCACCGGCUAACUUCGUG
rnacentral:rRNA from 1 species